CCUAGAGUUGUAGGCUUUGCCUGCUAUCUCUUACCCAUGUCUUUUGAGUACCUUCGUUUCCUCGGCGGGUCCGCCCGCCGAUUGGACAAUUUAAACCAUUGCAGUUGCAAUCAGCGUCUGAAAAAACUUAAUAGUUA
rnacentral:misc_RNA from 1 species